rfam:Lactobacillus rhamnosus MTCC 5462 contig45, whole genome shotgun sequence.
CAAACAGAUAGAGGUUGCAGCCAACAUGACUAACCGAAUCGAGCGAGAUCCUUCGUGGUGACAUUCGGUGAAAGGGGCGGUUGCCGAAAUGGGUGAUCCGGGAUCGGUGAGCCUGUUGGGCCAGGGUUGAAUAAAUCCUGUACUGUCGCUUAGGUAUCUAAGCGGGGCGCUAUCAUUCAA